UUAAAGUAAAAUGAAAUUUCUUUAAUAAAUUUGAGGUUAUUUUUGGUUGCCAGGCAACGAAAUAAAUAUGGAAGAAUUGUCAUUGUCAUUAUUGAAAAAUGGAAUGGAAUUUUAGUCUUGUGGAAUGGAAUUGGUCGUGUUAGUUAUAGUUUUAGUUCAAUGAAAAUAUACAACAAUGUAACACUGAAUAACAGUUAAAACUAGAAGUAACACUAGACCUAGAACUAGAAACAAUCGGGUUUAGCCAUGCAUCUUCAGUUAAACCCGAAAAAAUAAGAUUCAAAUUUUAAAUUUGUUGGUAUCUUGGAAUAUGCUUGACUAAUUUCAUGGGUGUUUACAACGAAAAUGUCAAAAUAAAUUUAAACCAAAUUGGAUUUAAAUUUUAUUAAUAAUUAUAAAAUAAACAAUUUUGUUUAAAAUCAAAGAAAUAAAGGUAAAAUAAGCAACGAAAUAAAUAUGGAAGAAUGGUCAUUAUUGAAAAAUGGAAUGGAACUUUAUUGAUAAAAAUAAUGUUGGGAACGUUUUAAUUAAACACAAGAAGAACUGUGAAUAAAGGAGUAACUGUUUUAAAAAUUCUUCAUCUCAAAAAGAACGGUUUUUCUGAGAAGGCUGAAGAAGGAAAGAUUAAAAGAGAAAAAAGGGGCAACGUCGCAAAUGAACCAACCGCGUAGAAUGUGACUAUAUGCGGAUAGGAAUCGGAGAGUCGGGCGGCGGCCCCAGCCUCCGGGGAGACUGUAACAGCCGUCGCCGUCGUCGAGAGAGAGGCUGAGCUCAUGGAUUUUUCUAGCGAGCAAUCCGUGGGAACGGCGGCAACGACGGCAACACCGCUCGAUCGGCUCCAUUCAUAGUUUUCAACAUUCCAAAGACCCCCCCACUCCACUACCCCUCGCACCCGGGGGGGCCACCCAGCGUCUCAAGACCCGUCCGACUACAUUCCAUACCAAUCGCUGAAUGACCGUAUACUUUUUCAAAAAAAUCCACAUUCCUCAAACGAAAUAAUGAUACAAAAAAAAAACAUGAAAAAAAUAUAGUUUUAGAACCGCCAUUUUAAAACAAAAAAGAAAAUAAAAGAAACCAUAUGGGUCAAAGAUAUCUAUGGGUUACGAUCUAGUUUUUUUGAUUACAUGAAUCGUUUAAUUAUAAAAAAUAUAAUAAUUGUAACAAACGAUUAUUUAUUUUGUUGAAAUAAUAAAAGGAAAAAGAAUGA